AGCAGCCGCGGUAAUUCCAGCUCCAAUAGCGUAUAUUAAAGUUGUUGCAGUUAAAAAGCUCGUAGUUGAAUUUCGGAAUCAAUGGAUCGGUCAUGCCACUCGGUGUGUACUGGUUUGAUUGGUUCUCACCUUCUAAGGAACCGUGAUGUCAUUAAUUUGGUGUCGCGGGGAAUUAGGACUGUUACCUUGAAAAAAUUAGAGUGUUUAAAGCAAGCUCACGCUUGAAUACAUUAGCAUGGAAUAAUGAAAUAGGACAUUGUAUUCUAUUUUGUUGGUUUCUAGGAUCAAUGUAAUGAUUAAUAGGGAUAGUUGGGGGCAUUAGUAUUCAAUUGUCAGAGGUGAAAUUCUUGGAUUUAUUGAAGACUAACUACUGCGAAAGCAUUUGCCAAGGAUGUUUUCAUUAAUCAAGAACGAAAGUUAGGGGAUCGAAGACGAUCAGAUACCGUCGUAGUCUUAACCACAAACUAUGCCGACUAGGGAUCGGAUGAUGUUAAUUUUUUAAUGACUCAUUCGGCACCUU
rnacentral:misc_RNA from 1 species